ACGACAGCGACGCCUCAGAUCAAACUGCCAGGCUGUGUUUUAAUCCUCAGUCUACCUUUUUUUUGGUUAGAGCUGACAACACAAGUCCAGAGAGAGAGAGGAGGAUGGCAAGGCGACUGUACCACCUGCUGAAUAAAUCAACGUGGUUUGACAUUACACCCUGAGAGACAAAGCGCUGUGAUCUCCAGUUCUGUACCGUGUGGGUAUGUAAGAGUUUUAUCUCUGUCUUUGACUUUGCUAGCAGUACUUGUGAAUGCACAUUGAAGUCACUUAUCAAGAAACAAUGCC
rnacentral:lncRNA from 1 species